rnacentral:rRNA from 1 species
CAGUUCGGAUUGUAGUCUGCAACCCGACUACAUGAAGCUGGAAUUGCUAGUAAUCGCGAAUCAGAAUGUCGCGGUGAAUACGUUCCCGGGUCUUGUACACACGCCCGUCACACCAUGGGAGUCGGAAAUGCCCGAAGUCAGUGACCCAACCGUAAGGAGGGAGCUGCCGAAGGUGGAGCCGGUAACUGGGGUGAAGUCGUAACAAGGUACC